AGAGCGAACGCUGGCGGCAGGCCUAACACAUGCAAGUCGAGCGCCCGUAGCAAUACGGGAGCGGCAGACGGGAUAGUAACACGUGGGAACGCGCCCUUCGGUUCGGAAUAACUCAGGGAAACUUGAGCUAAUACCGAAUACGCCCUUACGGGGAAAGAUUUAUUGCCGAAGGAACGGCCCGCGUCCGAUUAGCUAGUUGGUGAGGUAAUGGCUCACCAAGGCUACGAUCGGUAGCUGGUCUGAGAGGAUGACCAGCAUCACUGGGACUGAGACACGGCCCAGACUCCUACGGGAGGCAGCAGUGGGGAAUAUUGGACAAUGGGCGCAAGCCUGAUCCAGCCAUGCCGCGUGGAUGAUGAAGGCCUUAGGGUUGUAAAGUCCUUUUAACGGGAAGAUAAUGACGGUACCGUAGAAUAAGCCCCGGCUAACUUCGUGCCAGCAGCCGC
rnacentral:rRNA from 1 species